rnacentral:rRNA from 1 species
CAAUAGCGUAUAUUAAAGUUGUUGCAGUUAAAAAGCUCGUAGUUGAAUUUCGGGUCCCCGCGCUCGGCGCUUCAUUGUGCCGUCGUGGUGUCCCUCCUCGCCGUAAGGCGUCCUUUACUGUGAAAAAAUUAGAGUGUUCAAAGCAGGCAAUCGCUUGAAUACAUUAGCAUGGAAUAAUAAGAUAGGAUCUUGUCUAUUUUGUUGGUUGCGGACAACGAUAAUGAUUAAUAGGGAUAGUUGGGGGUGUCCGUAUUGAGCUGUCAGAGGUGAAAUUCUUGGAUUUGCUCAAGACGAACUACUGCGAAAGCAUUCACCAAGGAUGUUUUCACUA